AAUUCGAUUGAGUUUGAUCAUGGCUCAGGACGAACGCUGGCGGCGUGCCUAACACAUGCAAGUCGAACGGGACCAGGGGCAACUCUGGUUCAGUGGCGGACGGGUGCGUAACACGUGAGGAACAUGACCUUCGGCGGGGGAUAGCCGGCCCAACGGCCGGGUAAUACCGCGUACGACCACCUGGGGACAUCCUCGAGUGGUGAAAGCAGCAAUGCGCCGAUGAAGUGCCUCGCGGCCUAUCAGCUAGUUGGUGGGGUAACGGCUCACCAAGGCGACGACGGGUAGCUGGUCUGAGAGGAUGGCCAGCCACAUUGGGACUGAGACACGGCCCAGACUCCUACGGGAGGCAGCAGUGGGGAAUAUUGCGCAAUGGACGAAAGUCUGACGCAGCGACGCCGCGUGUGGGAUGACGGUCUUCGGAUUGUAAACCACUGUCGGGAGGGACGAAUACGCCGCAAGGCGGGUGACGGUACCUCCAAAGGAAGCACCGGCUAACUCCGUGCCAGCAGCCGCGGUAAUACGGAAGGUGCGAGCGUUGUCCGGAAUCACUGGGCGUAAAGGGCGCGUAGGCGGCCUGAUAAGUAGGGGGUGAAAUCCUGCGGCUUAACCGCAGGGCUGCCUUCUAAACUGUCAGGCUCGAGCACAGUAGAGGCAGGUGGAAUUCCCGGUGUAGCGGUGGAAUGCGUAGAGAUCGGGAAGAACAUCAGUGGCGAAGGCGGNCUGCUGGGCUGUUGCUGACGCUGAGGCGCGACAGCGUGGGGAGCAAACAGGAUUAGA
rnacentral:rRNA from 1 species